UACGAAGGGGGCUAGCGUUGCUCGGAAUCACUGGGCGUAAAGCGCACGUAGGCGGCUUUUUAAGUCAGAGGUGAAAUCCUGGAGCUCAACUCCAGAACUGCCUUUGAUACUGAGAAGCUUGAGUCCGGGAGAGGUGAGUGGAACUGCGAGUGUAGAGGUGAAAUUCGUAGAUAUUGGGAGGAACACCAGUGGCGAAGGCGGCUCACUGGACCGGAACUGACGCUGAUGCGCGAAAGCGUGGGGAGCAAACGGG
rnacentral:rRNA from 1 species